UAUGUGUGUUUUUCAGGAUAACAUUUCUGUGCGGAAGGAUUAAAAAACUACACCAGACUGGUGGCCAUGACAGAUGUCAGUGGGAAAUUUAAACAUGGACUAGAUACUUUGAUGUGUAGCAAAAAAGUUCAUCGUUGAUGGCGGUGUUUUUCUGUGAUAUAUUGACUGGGAUAGUAUUACUCUUCAGAAAUACAGAGCUGUCAAUGCUGCAAUUUUGUUGUGAAAUUCACAAUCCAUGUCCAAAAGUGCUUGUUUUACUAUACAGCAAAGAAGGAGAAAUUGUACCGGGCCGACACCUAUAUGGCAAAUUCAGAAAGUGGAAUAUCUCAGCAACCAUAGGGUUUACAGUCAUGAAACUUCACACACUAGUAGCUGAUAACAAUACAAAUCAGUGGCUAAAAGGAUAUUUCCAAGGCGAUGAAUUCCAUAUGUCAGAAGGAAAUUUAGAAUCGUACAACCAGUCAGCAGCUACCCAUAAACCAGACCAAUUUAUUAAGUCGAGCGGGCAGAAGCUGUGAUUCCCAGUGUAACACCGCAGAAUGACGGCUAGUUUUCGGAUUACAUUUCUGUGCGGAAGGAUUAAAAAACUACACCAGACUGGUGGCAAUGACAGAUGUCAGUGGGAAAUUUAAACAUGGACUAGAUACUUUGAUGUGUAGCAAAAAAGUUCAUCGUUGAUGGUGGUGUUUUUCUGUGAUAUAUUGACUGGGAUAGUAUUACUCUUCAGAAAUACAGAGCUGUCAAUGCUGCAAUUUUGUUGUGAAAUUCACAAUCCAUGUCCAAAAGUGCUUGUUUUACUAUACAGCAAAGAAGGAGAAAUUGUACCGGGCCGACA